rnacentral:lncRNA from 1 species
UCAAAUCCAAUUACUUUUGUGAGUGUGUGUGUGUGUGUUACUUACACAACGUAGACCUUAGUUGUAGCCAUAGUUUGAUCAGAUGAUAGUUACAGAGCUGGAAAUUAAACCCUCAAUUGAAAAAGAAGUUAACUACAGUUCUUCCCCAAAACCAAAGUGGACAAGUAGGUGGAUUCGAAGAAUAUAUGGAGAACACAAGUGAUUUUCGUGAAUUAGUUAACCAAAGUGGACAAGUAGGUGGAUUCGAAGGAUGCGUGUAAGAACUCUAGAGAUGUAUCUGAAGGCUUCAGCCACGUCGCAAGACCACAUCGUUUAAAGCUUUUGUCAGCUCUGAUCCUUUUGCUGGUGCAUUCUU